UCGCCUGUUUUUCAAAAACAUUUCUAUUAGAAAUAAUUAAUAGUAAAGUCUGCUCAAUGAAACUUUAAAUAGCCGCAAUUAGUGCUAAGGUAGCAUAAUAACUUGUCUUUUAAAUGAAGACUAGAACAAAAGACUUAACAUUUUAAUUUAUAUUUAUAAUAUAAUAAUUCAAUUUUAUAUUAAUGUAAAAAAUCAUCUUAUAAAACAAAAAGACGACAAGACCCUAUUGAACUUAACUUUAGUUAAACUGGGGCAGUUAAUUAAUUAUAAUUUUAAUAUAAAUAUUACAUUAAAUAUCUAAAACAUUUAAUUAAUCCAGUUACCAUAGGGAUAACAGCGUAAUAAUAUCUUUAAGCUCUUAUUUAAAAUAUAGUUUACGACCUCGAUGUUGAAUUAAUAUACUAAUUAAAGCAAAUUUAAAAAAAGUAAGUCUGUUCGACUUUUAAAAAAUUACCUGAUCUGAGUUCCAGACCGGA
rnacentral:rRNA from 1 species